rnacentral:rRNA from 1 species
AUUGAACGCUGGCGGCAGGCUUAACACAUGCAAGUCGAGCGGGGUGAUGGUGCUUGCACUAUCACUUAGCGGCGGACGGGUGAGUAAUGCUUAGGAAUCUGCCUAUUAGUGGGGGACAACAUCUCGAAAGGGAUGCUAAUACCGCAUACGUCCUACGGGAGAAAGCAGGGGAUCACUUGUGACCUUGCGCUAAUAGAUGAGUCUAAGUCGGAUUAGCUAGUUGGUGGGGUAAAGGCCUACCAAGGCGACGAUCUGUAGCGGGUCGGAGAGGAUGGUCCGCCACACUGGGACUGAGACACGGCCCAGACUCCUACGGGAGGCAGCAGUGGGGAAUAUUGGACAAUGGGGGGAACCCUGAUCCAGCCAUGCCGCGUGUGUGAAGAAGGCCUUAUGGUUGUAAAGCACUUUAAGCGAGGAGGAGGCUCUUCUGGUUAAUACCCAAGAUGAGUGGACGUUACUCGCAGAAUAAGCACCGGCUAACUCUGUGCCAGCCGCCGCCGUAA